UGUGUGUGUGUGUGUGUGUGUAUGUAUCUGUGUGAGUAUGCAUGUGCAUGUAUACACACACACACACACACACACACACACACA
ensembl:miRNA